GGAGACGUGGCAGAGUGGCGAAUGCAGCGCCUUGCUAAGGCGUAGUCGGCCUGCGCCGGCCGCGGGUUCGAGUCCCGCCGUCUCCGCUA
rnacentral:tRNA from 1 species